rnacentral:rRNA from 1 species
GGAGUGGACGCAUCACUGGUGUUCGGGUUGUCAUGCCAAUGGCACUGCCCGGUAGCUAAAUGCGGAAGAGAUAAGUGCUGAAAGCAUCUAAGCACGAAACUUGCCCCGAGAUGAGUUCUCCCUGACCCUUUAAGGGUCCUGAAGGAACGUUGAAGACGACGACGUUGAUAGGCCGGGUGUGUAAGCGCAGCGAUGCGUUGAGCUAACCGGUACUAAUGAACCGUGAGGCUUAACCUUACAACGCCGAAGCUGUU